rnacentral:lncRNA from 1 species
AUACAUUGAUCUUGAACAAAGCUGUUAUAAUUGAGUUGCCGGAAUCCAUAGGAUUGUUGGAGAAUCUGAUUGUCUUAAGAUUGAAUCAGUGCAAGAAACUAUGCAGAUUGCCUGCUUCAUUUGGAAACUUGAAAAACUUGUAUCACCUGUUUAUGGAGGAAACUGCCAUUACUGAAUUACCUGAAACGUUUGGGAUGCUUUAUAAUCUGAGGACGUUGAAAAUGGCAAAGAAGCCCUACGGCCAGGCCCCUCAGAUUUCUCUCGUAUCAGAGCCAGCUACUAGUGCAGAGAGAAAGAUAAUUCCAUCUUCUUUCUCGAAUCUUUCCUUGUUGGUCGAAUUCAAUGCUCGUGCAUGGAAGAUAUCGGGGAAGAUACCUGAUGAUUUUGAGAAGUUAUUAUCUUUAGAGAUUUUGAAUUUGAGUCACAAUGAUUUUCAUAGUCUUCCAUCCAAUAUGAGACCUCUCCGUGUUCUCAAAAAGCUCGAUUUAUCCCACUGCAAAUUGCUCAAAGUUCUUCCUCCACUUCCCGGGAGUUUGCAGGAUCUAAAUGCUGCAAAUUGUACUUCUCUGGAAAGCAUUUCUGAUCUCUCAAAUUUGCAGUAUUUAAUUGAGAUGGAAUUCACCAAUUGUGAGAAACUAAUGGACUUUCCAGGCGUUGAAAAUUUGAUGUCCUUGAGAAGGUUGUACAUGGGAGGCUGCAGUAACCGUGCCUCAGCAUUGAUACAGAAACUUGACAAGGUAUCUAACCAUCUAUCCCUCUCCCCCUUAAUUUAUGCAUGUGUAAAUCCUCUUAGAUUACAAUCAGUCAAGUCAUCGUCCCCCUUGUGCUCUGGGCUAUCCACGAUCUAAAAUAGCUGGACAAGGGGUCAUUUUACUUGUUUCAGUUUCACUUAUGGUUUAUGAAUAUGAAUUAUUAAAGGUAUGCAUCUGAGUCACGAUAAUUUAAUUUGCUACAAUUUUUCGAUGCAGGUUGCGCUGAGAAAUUUAUACAAUUUAUGCAUACCGGGAAGUGAAAUACCAGACUGGUUUACUCGAGAUGAGAUUCGCUUUUCUAGAAAGAAAAAUGAGGCAAUAAGGAGUGUGAUUAUUGCUGUUGUCGUCUCAAAGAACUCUCAAAUCACCCAGGAUUCAACAUUCGAUGAGUUGCCUGUUAUGGCUGAAAUCGAAGGAAAGAUUCUCAGAGUAACCAGAGCAGUUUACAGUCAUGCACCGAACUUAAGAGGAAUCCCAAAUACAGAUGAUGAUCAACUUUAUUUGUGCAGAUAUCCUGAUUAUCAUCCAUUAGUUUCCAUUCUAGAAAACGACGACAGAAUACAGGUCGUAAGGCGCAAUCCUCCAUUUGAUCCAAGAAUUAUGCUGAAGAAAUGUGGGAUUCAUUUAGUUUAUGAAAAUGAUGACGAUUAUGAUGGCAACGAAGAAUCGUUGGAUGAAAAUUUACAAACGGUGUCCCACAGAAUAAAGAAGAUUUUUUACUCUCCUGAGGGACACAACACUAGCUCAAACUCUACUCAAGCAGAUGAAGGACAGGAAGGGAACUGAGUCCAUUGCCUGUAGUUUGUAUUUGGCUGUUCAAGGCCGCUUUUGGCUAAAUGUCUUCUUUGCUUUGAACAAAAUGCUGUAAACUAGGAAGAUUUUGAUUUUCGACAUUACUACCCAUUGAUGAAACUAUAUAUUAAGUGCUCGACAACAUUCAGUGACGUUCAAUACUAAGCAUCUCCAAGAUAUUUUUAAACAUGAACAGUUCUAUAUUUUAAAGAGUCAACCUUAAAAUUAUGCUGUAAGAGACUUUUUAAAUUAAUAUUUUAAUUUAGAUGGUUGACUCUAUAAUUAAAUGCAUUUAAAGUAUUUCAAUUUUUUUUACAACCCAAAUAAGUCUUACAAAAUUAGCAUUGUUCUUCCUUAAAUUAAUCACUUAGUACAUAAGAUAAAUAGAAGCCCAACAAAUUAACAAAAAUGAAGUUUGGGCAAUGAGUUGUGACUUAAAAUAGGAAACGAGAUGGACCAGAAGACUAAGACUAUUCAAAGAAUACAAGGUCCAAUCCACCAUAGGUGCCCAACUCGGGACAUAUGCGUGACAAUAUCUUUUUUAUUGUUGUUUACUGGUUGUUAAUAUUAUUUAUUGUCUAAACUGGAUUCUGAACUAGUUACUUUAUGUUUCGAAGUCAUUCAAUCCCUCGAUCAAGUACUAAAAAUGAAUAUUUUAAGAUAAGACGAGAAGCUAACUUGGACACCAAAAUUUUGUGUAUCUAUCUUCUCUAAAUUUUGAACAAAAAUUUUAUUUUAAAUUUUCCUAUAAAAUUUGAAAAAAAAAAAAAAUUAUUUGCCCAAUACAAUUGAUUCGACAUAAGCUUACUCUAUUGGUCUAAAAAGUUUUAUUUGACCUUGCAAAAAAUGGUGACAAAACUAAAUUGACAUGAUGGACUUUCGUUCUUAUUUUCAAUUAUUUAGACUCGUCGUUAUUUCUGGUACGUUGAAUACUAUACAAAAAUUAUAUUGGUCAAUUCAACAUAAUCGUAUUGAGUUCCAUUUUUCUUGUGAAGUAUGAGCCACAAGCUGAGUUGCCAAACUUGAAAAUAUAAGCGAUAAUAUUCCAUGAAAGGUACCUUAUGGACCUCGUACAUUGACUAAAGAAUACAAAUUGAGGAAUCAAUAUUUAAUGGUCGUUUCAAAAAUGAAAACCUACACAUUUUCUCAUUAUGUAACCACGUGGCAAAACAUUGUAUCAUUAGAUUUUUUUUUUCCUUUAUUUUUUCCUAUUUUCUUUAAGUUGAUAGCGAAAGAGUAUAUAAGUAUAAUCAUAUUAAUCCAUCCCAUAAGAGUAUACUUGUUUUUAUUUUCACACAGAUUAAAAAAUGUAAUUAAUAUAAUUAAAAAUAUGUUUUUUCUUCUUUACAUCCUAACAAACACCUAUAUUAAAUAAUAAUUUAAAUGGAAUUAUUUCAUAUUUAUUGAUAACAAGACUUAUUAAGCCCUUAUUUUGUGGGGGUUAAAAUUAAAAUUUUUUUAAAAAAAAAAUUUGAAAUGUGUGGUUGAAAAAUUGUGGGACCCAUAAAAUGUGUGGUUAAUAUUAACUGUUUAACCCUGAUAUAGAUUAAAAUUUGAUUUAAAUCAAUACCAAACAAGGGCUAAAUAGAGUUAUAUUAGAAAAUUAAAAAAAAAUAAAUUAUAUUCUCGGCAAGUUAGGACAUAUAAUGUGAUAGAUGUAAAAUGAAAGAGAAUAUACCUUUAUGAGAUAAAGAAAAUAUCAACGUUCUUGAUAAUGAGGUUUAUUUUAUUGUUUUUGUUAAUCCAUAAUAAAUUUCUAUCAAAAUACGUGCAUAAUUGAAAAGCUAGUCAAUACAAUCUCGAAUCAAGCAAGUUUUUGCGAUCCCAUUUAGGUUUCCAAAAAAUGCCAUUCUUUUUUAUUCUUAAAAUUUCCCUAGUUAGUGAACACGAAGCUUACUCUAUUGUGCGUAUAAUUAUUAAAAGGUAACGAGUCCCAUAUGAAAUUUAGGAUCAGGAAAGCUACUUGAACUGAGAUUCAUGACAGGUAUUGCGUGUCAGUACCUGUAUGAAUCUCUCUCUCUCUCUCUCUCUCUUUCAAACUAUCAAAUGAAUAGUUGACACAUAUGCUUGUUUUUUAAAUUCUAUCAAUUAUCCAUGUUUGUGUAGCAAUAGGAUAAGACAUUAAUUUCAGAGGCCAUAUCAAUUUUUGGUGCUACAGUCUAAUAGUCUGUGGUUUAUUUGUUGUUUAUUAGGAGUAAUUAAUUUAUGAAUUUUGCUACACGCCGCGAAGGGGUCACCGAAUCAUAAGUGAAGGGACUGCAUUUGCUUCCAAAAAACUAUUUUAUUUUUUCAAAGAUCAAUAAAUGCUUGACACCUAUGUAUAUGUAAUACUAUCUACCAGAACUCUCGUACUUCAUCCAUCCCAUAAAAAUACAUUUAUUUUCAUUUUCACUCUAAUUAAAUAUAUAUAAUUAAUAUAGUUGAAAAUAUAAUUCUUUUUUCUUAAUAUAGUCUUACAUUAAAUAAUAAUUUAAAUAUGAGUAGUUUAUAUUUGUUAAUAACAAAGCAAAUUAGCGAUGCAUCCAAGGGAUUAUCGUUGAUCUGGCUGUGGAGAAGCGCACGAGAAUUAUUAGUGCUAGAACUAUAGCUCUCAACAAUCUUCGAAUAUCUCCCAAUGUCACUGCUGUGUUAACAUACAUGAAGGAGAAAUACAAGGAAUAUUUUCAACAUGGAGCAGAAGAGGGUGAAGUAAUAGUGGAUACCAAAUGGUUCGAGUCAAUGGUUAAUCUGAGGAUGCUCCAUUUCAGUAAUGUUCGACUCGAAGGAGAUUUUAAACAUAUGCCUGGUGCAGUGAAAUGGCUACAAUGGAAGAAAUGUUCACUCAGAAGUCUGCCUUCUGUAUUUUUGGACGGUGAAAUGGCUGUUCUUGAUCUCUCACAGAGCAAGAUUGAAAGUAUAUCGGGGUGGAAGUGGUUCUGGGAUAGACGAAAGGUAUGUUUCUGUUUCAUGACAUUUUCUGAGAAUUGCCAAAUUUAAAUAUGCACAUAAGUUUGCAAAAAAUAUUAAAGAGGAAAAGCAAUUGAUUUUACGAUUUUGGAUGAAAAAUCUUAUUGCUAUUAGUUCAAGGAUCUUUAUUAUUAUUAUUAUUAUUAUUAUUAUUAUUAUUAUUAUUAUUAUUUUUAAUUCAGUUAUGCAACAGAUUAUCUUUGAUGUAUCUAGUUCAUUUGGGAAAGAUAGUAACAGUGGAAUAGGCAUGUCUCAUUCUUUCUUGCCAUAUGUUUGAGGAGGCCGAAAGGGAUUUUGUUGAUUCUGAUUCAUCCAUUCUAGCCUGUAGCAGAGAAUACAUUUUCGGAGCCGCUCCUCCACCGUUCUUAUAUAUCUAUCACUCCAUAAAUCUAUCCCUAUUAAAAUUUUAAAUUUUAAGAAAGUACUAUAUUCAUUCAUAUCACAUUCCAAUUUUAUCUUUAUUAAAUUCAUUUGUUUAAACACUAUUUACCUGCACCAUUUUUAUGUGCCUAUGCUACUCUAAUUUAUCCCUAUUUAAAUUUUAAAAAUGUACUAUACUCAUUUUCAUUAUAUUCCAACACUACACUUAGAGCUUGUUUGCUAUAGAUUUUAAGCCAAUUUCAUCAUGCAUUGAGAAUUUGGUUUUGAUAAAGACUUUGGGAUAAGGACUCUAAUUCAUACACAACUUCAAGAUUUAACUCGUACAAAUUCUCCACGAGGUAUAAGCUCUUCAUAGGUUCAACAUAACAAUUAGAUUAUUGUUGUAUACAUUGGAAACUUGAGAGAAUUGUUUAGUUUUAUAUUGAGAGAAUUAAAUCUUGUGAAGACAAUUUUAGUUUCUUGGAAUAAUAAAGUCUCAUCUCAUCCUCUUCCACAAAAAUCUUGUUUGUUCUUUGAUCCAUUAUUUUUAUAUUAUUCAUAUUUACUCGUUCUUUAAUUAUUUGGUCGGAUUAUCAACAAUACUCGUGGUACUCCUCGUUUCUCUUCUCCAACAAAUGUAUUUGCUCUUGAAUAUCCUUGAUUUCCUGACUCUGCAUGCACACCAUGCGAUCCUCCCUCAUCUUCAAAGACACCGACCAAGCUCAGAGGCCUUUCUCUUCAAAAAUGAGGAUUCGGAAGCCAACCCUUUUGUUCUCUUCCAUUAACGACGUCAUUCAAAUGUCGCAUUAUCAUUCAAAAGAAUUAGGUUUCUAAUUCCAGUACAUCCAGCAAAUUCUGCUACAGCUCUAUCUUUCUCACUAAUUCACUCAACCGGUUCUCGGCUAUGCUAAGCUCAUUCAGAUUGAACUUCAUGGUUGACGUUCUACUAUGAUCAUAUCAGGAUCUGGCUCCCAAUAAAAGUGACUUGAAUGACACUGAACACCCAGCAUCAGAGUCUAUUGCUGGCAUCCCCUCUCCAUCAAACUGACUGUUAUCUUUGAAACUUAAGGGUGGGACCAGGGAGGAGUGUUGAAGUGAAUGACGUGUCAAAUUUCAAUCCAUUGGUGGAUUUUAAACUUAAUUCAAAUGUUGAAGCCCACCAUAAGUUUAUCCACCAAUGAAUUUAUAUGAUACCUCAACAUAAUGUUAAAAAUAUAAUAUAGAUUUAUUAUUAUUAUUAUUUUUUAAAUGGAUAGAUAUAAAAAAUGAUGGAUGAAAUAGAGGCUCCCUACAUUCUUCCCCUUUUAUGCAUUUUCACUAUUCUAGAAUAUUGUUUUUUCUUAAGCUUUAGAUCAACAAGGGUGUCUUCGAAAUUUAAACUAAGGUGAAGGAUUUUUGAAAAGAGUGCAGGUGUGGAAGAUAGAAAUUUUAUAAUCACUGCUUAUAUAGCAUCUUUGUUACCCAUUAUUAGAUCUUGCAUGGUAUUAAGCUUUUCAAUAUCAAUUGAAAUAUGUUGUUGCGUCUCAGUCUGCAUUGAAAUUGGGGUUGACUGAUGAUGUGAAUUAAGCUUUUAAUAUCAUUGUAACCAGUCUAGAUCAUUGAUGAAAGGUUUUGUAAUAUGAGCUUGGGCUUGUCACAACAAUAUAGUUACAAGAAAAUGAGACAGAAAAUGAACUAAGGAAGUGAUGAAUAAAAAAAAAAGGUUACUUAGUUAUGGACCUAUGAUAGAGCACGACACAUGCCUCUGCUAUAAUUAUCAUGAAUCACUAAAAUGAAGACAUCAAAUAUUUAAAGGUUCCAUUGUGCUUGAUUUUCUGUCUGUUUUAAUUCUCAGUUGAAAUGCUUGUAUUCCUUUUUAUGUUGACUAACAAUGGAAAAGUUUCUCUAUUUUUCAGGUGAAAAAUAAACUUAUUGUGUUGAAUCUCUAUAAUUGUUGUAACCUGACUGCAAUUCCUGAUUUGUCUGAGUACAAAUCCCUGGAAAAGCUGAUACUCGUGCUCUGCAAAAAUUUGAAAACUAUACACAAAUCAGUAGGUGGCCUGGACACUUUACGGCAUCUCAACUUGAGAGAAUGUUUGAGUCUUGUUGAAUUUCCAAGUGAUGUCUCUGGACUAAAACGUCUCGAGGUACUCAUUCUCUCUGGCUGUUCACAACUGAAAAAUCUACCUCGGAACAUUGGCUGCAUGAAGUCUUUGCAAGAACUUCUAGCUGAUAGUACUGCCAUAGAUGAGCUGCCUGAAACUAUAUUCAGGCUAACUUGUCUCGAAAAGCUUUCCCUAGACCAUUGCAAAUCAUUAAAACGACUCCCCAGAAGCAUAGAAAAGCUUAGUUCCUUAAGGGAACUUUCUCUUCUUGGUUCUGCAUUGGAAGAAUUACCUGAUUCCAUUGGCUUUUUAGGAAAUCUUGAGAUUCUAAAUUUGAUGCAUUGUCAAUCAUUAAUUGCAAUUCCAGAUUCCAUUGGAAAUCUCAAAUCAUUGGCUAAACUCUUGCUUAAUGGUAGUUCCAUAGAAGUUAUACCGGAAUCUAUUGGUUCACUAUACUAUCUGAAAGAUUUAUCCGUGGGAGACUGUAAACGUUUGCACACAUUGCCAGUCACUAUUGAAGGGUUGUCUUCAAUGAUUGCUUUUCAGUUAGACAGGACUUUAAUCACUUGUUUACCUCAUGAAAUUGGUUUUUUGAAAUCACUUAAGAAGCUUGAAAUCAGAGAUUGCAAGAAUCUUAGCAAACUUCCAGAAUCAAUAGGGAACAUGUCAGCCCUUCAUACAUUGAUCUUGAACAAAGCUGUUAUAAUUGAGUUGCCGGAAUCCAUAGGAUUGUUGGAGAAUCUGAUUGUCUUAAGAUUGAAUCAGUGCAAGAAACUAUGCAGAUUGCCUGCUUCAUUUGGAAACUUGAAAAACUUGUAUCACCUGUUUAUGGAGGAAACUGCCAUUACUGAAUUACCUGAAACGUUUGGGAUGCUUUAUAAUCUGAGGACGUUGAAAAUGGCAAAGAAGCCCUACGGCCAGGCCCCUCAGAUUUCUCUCGUAUCAGAGCCAGCUACUAGUGCAGAGAGAAAGAUAAUUCCAUCUUCUUUCUCGAAUCUUUCCUUG